CCUACGGGUGGCAGCAGUGAGGAAUAUUGGUCAAUGGCCGGAAGGCUGAACCAGCCAUGCCGCGUGAAGGUCAGUGCCCUAUGGGCGUUAAACUUCUUUUGUGCGGGAGCAAUAAUGGUCACGUGUGGCCAGACGAGAGUACCGUACGAAUAAGCAUCGGCUUACUCCGUGCCAGCAGCCGCGGUAAUACGGGGGAUGCAAGCGGUAUCCGGAUUUAUUGGGUUUAAAGGGUGCGUAGGCUGUGAGGUAAGUCAGCGGUGAAAUGCCCCCGCUCAACGGGGUGAAGUGCCAUUGAUACUGCCUGGCUGGAGUGCGGAUGCCGUGGGAGGAAUGUGUGGUGUAGCGGUGAAAUGCAUAGAUAUCACACAGAACACCGAUUGCGAAGGCAUCUCACGAAUCCGCGAUUGACGCUGAUGCACGAAAGCGUGGGUAUCAAACAGGAUUAGAUACCCCAGUAGUC
rnacentral:rRNA from 1 species